rnacentral:lncRNA from 1 species
UACAGACCUCCAUUUUUUUUCUUUUCGUUGCUCUCACCAUGAACCCACAAAUUACACAUAAAAUCCUCCAUGGAUGAACAUUUCAACACAGCUUGAUGUGCCAUUAACACCAAAAAAAGAAAAAAAAUUAAAGAAGGCAACACACACUCACAUACGCUCCACCCACCAUCACUCUCACAUCCCACCCAUCCACCAAGGAUGCACACAUAGAGAGCUAGACAGAAAACACACACACUAUACGAAGAGAUUCGAGAAUGCUACAGAAAAACUGUGAGAGAAAGAAGUAGAAAAAAACUGUGGAAAGGAAUGAAAUUCCUGAUCGCCAGUCACUAUUCCGGCGAUCUACUCGCCGGAAAAAAUCCAACCUCAACUCGCUGGAAUCCAGCCUAUUUCAGUCAGUUUCUUUCACUGUUAGCUCACCAAAGUCGAUUUGUCGAGGUUCUCAGUUCUCCAUCGAGAAUUGGGUUUGAGUUUCAUCGUUUUUGUUUGAAAUGGGUCGGUCAAUUUUGUUCAAGUUAGUUCAUGUUUUGGGUUAUUGAAGUCGGGAGUUUGUUGUUGGGGAAUUUUUGUUCAAGGUAUUCCGAUGCCGCUCCGUCAAACAGUUCAAUUGAAAUAAUACGUCAAAUUUGAGGUCCAUUUCCAAUCUUUUCUUUUUACUUAUUAUUUCCUUGUUCAUAAUAUUCGGUGUUAUGGUUUGGACGUUGUGUGUUGUUUGAGCUUUGUCGAUGGUGAAUAAUUGCUUGGUUUUUUAUUCAUUGAUUGAUUCCAUUGAUGAUGAAUUGCAUAGUGAAAUGGGAUUUCGCGUUUGAGAAUUAAAAUUGGUUGUUUGGGGAUGAGUGAAACAAGAAUUGACACUUGAUAAAAAUGUUAAUUUUUGUUGGUUUGAUUCAUGAGUUAUUGUUUGACUUGAAAUAAAUGUUAAUCAAACUUGAUAGUAUCAUAAUAUGUUGAAAUGGAUUGGCAAACGUAGGUUGGGUAGGAAAAGUUUAGAAUUUGUAAUUUUGUUGAAUGGUAUGGUUUUGUCAAAUUGAAAAGAUGUAUUUAUUUUGCCGAGGGAUGCCUCAGGACCUUUUGUACUUAUUUAUCGGAGAAUGCCCCGACGUAUCAUGUACACAAAGGAGGUUCGUGUUGAAGGCCCGAGGCACAGGGUAAAGCAUUGGAGCAUAGUUUAGGAUUAGCGUAGGUUUACUUUUCAGUACUUUUUUACUUCAGUUUGUAAUAAUUGGACUGAACAUUAUAUUUUGGAUUUGUUUUGUUUCGCGUGUUUGAUUGGUUGUUUUUAUGUGUUUUGUGUGGUUUAUACAUCCAUAGUGUUAGAUUAGCCGAUAUAUUUCACUAAGCGACUGUGGUCGAACCAUGGGAUCGAGGGGUGCCUAACACCUUCCCCUCGGUUAAUAGAAUUUCUUAGUCGGAAUCUCUGUUCGUAGAUCAGUUUUAGAGUCAAAACGUCUUGAAAAGAAUUUUUCAAAGGUGACUUGGCACACCAAAUUAUGCCAAGUUACGACUCUGAAUAAAAAAUAUAAAUAAUUUUUUUUUCGAAAUAAAUUUUUAUUCUUUUGUCACUUUAAUAAUAAAAACCCUUUCGACCCUUAAUCUAAUUUUUUUCGGUUAAAAAAAAGGGUUUGAAAGCUCUGGCGACUCUGCUGGGGACUAUUUUAGAAUUCGAGCUUAUUUUGGAGUUGUAUCGGCUUAGUUUGGCACUAUAGGUGUAUGGACAAUUUGUUUGUGUUAUUUUGUGUUAUUGUAUUAUCACUGUUGAGUGCCCACGUUCUCUUUGUUUACAGUUUUUAUUUUAUGUGUUACCGCUUUAUAUCUGGCAUCAUGUGCAUAACCCAAGUCAUUCUUUCUGCGACAAGUCCGUAGUACACGUGUUGUACACGACCUCUAGUUGAGUCACCCUUAUUUUAGGGGGGAACCGUCGGUGUUAUGGAGUAGGUAGAAAGCAAAGCAGUCACUAUCGACCAUACGCUCUCUCGAACAGCCUUGUUAGUGAACCCUAACGUAGGUCAGUCUUUAAGUCAUGCUUAUGUGCAUCAUAUUGAAGACCAAGCGGGGUCCACUUGGCCCUCUGUAGGAGACUCGCCUCUAAAGUAUCCUUACAUGCUAAAUGUUGCAUCUUUGAUGGCAACGUUGGUAUUUGACAGACUGAUGUUGGGCAAAGCAUGUGCUAGAAUUAAAGAAAGGUGUGUAGGCAUGANNNNNNNNNNNNNNNNNNNNNNNNNNNNNNNNNNNNNNNNNNNNNNNNNUCUUCAUGAUUAACAAAACUGAAUGCCAACAGUAUAUAUAUCCAAAGACCACUUUAAGCAAAUCAUUAUAAUGACCAUUAUAUGCCGUGUGUAGACAUCUAAUUUUGUCCCUCCCAAGUUUAAUUUUAUUCAUUUUUACCUCACUUUAUCGUACAUCCUCACCCAUGUGAUUAUACCCCACAAAAAUAAAAAAAUUAACAACCCUUAACAAACCCAAUCCCCAAUUAUUCUCUUGGUAACAAAAUUUAUCUCAACCAACUCACACCUCACUACUCUACCCCACCCUCCUACCCACGUGACCCCCCUCACAUUUCUUCUCCAUAAAGAAAAAAAAGGGAUAUACACGAGACACACACGCACAAUUCACGGAGAGCUCACCAUUUUUUUAUAGACACACAAACGAAAAAAAAAAAGAGCUGAGGUAUAUAUACAGACCUCCAUUUUUUUUCUUUUCGUUGCUCUCACCAUGAACCCACAAAUUACACAUAAAAUCCUCCAUGGAUGAACAUUUCAACACAGCUUGAUGUGCCAUUAACACCAAAAAAAGAAAAAAAAUUAAAGAAGGCAACACACACUCACAUACGCUCCACCCACCAUCACUCUCACAUCCCACCCAUCCACCAAGGAUGCACACAUAGAGAGCUAGACAGAAAACACACACACUAUACGAAGAGAUUCGAGAAUGCUACAGAAAAACUGUGAGAGAAAGAAGUAGAAAAAAACUGUGGAAAGGAAUGAAAUUCCUGAUCGCCAGUCACUAUUCCGGCGAUCUACUCGCCGGAAAAAAUCCAACCUCAACUCGCUGGAAUCCAGCCUAUUUCAGUCAGUUUCUUUCACUGUUAGCUCACCAAAGUCGAUUUGUCGAGGUUCUCAGUUCUCCAUCGAGAAUUGGGUUUGAGUUUCAUCGUUUUUGUUUGAAAUGGGUCGGUCAAUUUUGUUCAAGUUAGUUCAUGUUUUGGGUUAUUGAAGUCGGGAGUUUGUUGUUGGGGAAUUUUUGUUCAAGGUAUUCCGAUGCCGCUCCGUCAAACAGUUCAAUUGAAAUAAUACGUCAAAUUUGAGGUCCAUUUCCAAUCUUUUCUUUUUACUUAUUAUUUCCUUGUUCAUAAUAUUCGGUGUUAUGGUUUGGACGUUGUGUGUUGUUUGAGCUUUGUCGAUGGUGAAUAAUUGCUUGGUUUUUUAUUCAUUGAUUGAUUCCAUUGAUUAUGAAUUGCAUGAUGAAAUGGUAUUUCGCGUUUGAGAAUUAAAAUUGGUUGUUUGGGGAUGAGUGAAACAAGAAUUGACACUUGAUAAAAAUGUUAAUUUUUGUUGGUUUGAUUCAUGAGUUAUUGUUUGACUUGAAAUAAAUGUUAAUCAAACUUGAUAGUAUCAUAAUAUGUUGAAAUGGAUUGGCAAACGUAGGUUGGGUAGGAAAAGUUUAGAAUUUGUAAUUUUGUUGAAUGGUAUGGUUUUGUCAAAUUGAAAAGAUGUAUUUAUUUUGCCGAGGGAUGCCUCAGGACCUUUUGUGCUUAUUUAUCGGGGAAUGUCCCGACGUAUCAUGUACGCAAAAAGAAGGUUCGUGUUGAAGGCCCGAGGCACAGGGUAUAGCAUUGG